UAAUGGCUAACGUGGGCGGUGCCUCGGGUAAUCCUAAUUGCCGAAUAUAGUUAAUACAGAACUUAACAAUUAAGCCAAAGAACAGUCACAAACUAAGACUUAAACAAAAAACAAGUCCUAAGAAAACCUUUAAUCUUCUCUUAAAAACCUUUCCUCUUUAUUGCAUUGGAGAAAACUCUCUAAGAAACUAGCUUCCCUUCGUUGGUACCUUUUCACUUUUGUCCAGCCCCUCAGUCCACUGAGCACCUUGGAGAUUAACCACCAGCACUUUCUCCGACCUCUACCUAUCCUCUUUGAAAUCCCCUCCUAUCUCUAAUGAUGAGAUGCUCCACUUCCGCUGGGACUUCUUCUAUCCAGUAAAUCGAGGAAUCAUAUCGGCGUCCUCUCGUUUCCAACCCAUGCGCCAUUUCGUUCGCCAUCCGAGAUACAUGCCGAAAAGAUAAGCUUCUAAAUUUGGGGAUUCUAUCUUUUAUUUCUUUGAUUAUGUUUCCAAUUACUGAUCUAUCAUUUUCUACAGAUCUCAAUUUCUUAAUCACCGUUAACGCGUCCCCUUCCACACAUACUUCUCUAAAACCCAAAUCUUCUGUGAAGAUGACUGCCUAUAGGCACGCCCGUGCUUCUGCAAUGGUCGGAUCUCAAAUGUUCUCCCAUGGUAACUAUUGUUUCCAACUUUGAUCAUGUUUGUGCUCGAGGGUGCCACUCCUACCUCCUGCAGAACUGGUUUUGUGAAUGCGCAAUCUCGACACGGAUGGGCUACUGUCUCUUCCUCUUCUUUACAGAUUGGGCAAAGUGCAUCUUCCCUAAGCCUUCGAGACUUUAGGUUACCUAGAGAAGGCAUACAUAUAUUCAUUAGUUAUUUUCCCUAGAUUUAUUCGAAUCUUGCUGGGAAUUUUGAGGCUCCAACUUUUUGUAAAGUAGCUUGUAUCUUCAGAUUGGAAUGUGUUGUUGUUUCUCAACAAAUUUUGGUCCUCUGUAAUGAGCCAUUUGUACUUGCUCUUUGCUGUAUAAACUCUAAAACUGUCACCUCUCAAUAUUAUCUCAUUUGUCUACAUACUGCUCACCAGCCGGAUGGAUAAUAUUCUCUCAGCUUGCUCAUCACUGAACAGCCUGUUGAUGACCUUCUUUUCCCAGGACUCGGCAACCACACAUCAUUCCAUAUGUUCAUCGAUUCACCAUUCCCAAUCUUCCACCUUGUGCCUUUCUCCAAUAGAUUACAUGCACCCCAAAUACUAUGCUAGGUAAAUGAAGGGUAAGACCUUAAACUUACAAUCAUGAAAUCUCCCCGAGGAUAAAAUUUUGCUUUUAUUACUCGUGUAAGUAAACUGUUGGGGUUAAUGAUUAGCUUCCAGCCUUGUUUCGCCAACAGGGCUAUAUUAAAAUUUGAUAACUCCCUAAACCCAAUCGCCCCUCGCGCUUUUGGGAUACACAUAGUAUCCCAACUACAUCAAUGUAUGCCUUUGUUAGAUUAUAAAUUACGUCACCAAAAUCAACACAUCAAA